GCAAGAUAGCUCAGUUGGAUAGGGCAUGGUGCUGAUAUUGCCAAGGUUGCAGGUUUGAUUCCUGUAUGGGACAGCUGCA